rnacentral:ncRNA from 1 species
AUCUUCAGGGCAGGGUGAAAUUCCCUAUCGGAGGUAACAGUCCUCGAGCCUAACGGCAUGACAUGGUGUGAUUCCAUGACCGACGGUAUAGUCCGGAUGAAAGAAGAUA